rnacentral:lncRNA from 1 species
ACAAGGAGGUCCCAGUGCCGAUGCACGGGGAGGCGGAUGCACAGGGAGGUCCCGGUGCCGGUGCACGACGAGGUGGGUGCACGACGAGGCUGAUGCACGAGGAGGCCCCGGUCCUGGUGCACGAGAGCGGCCGGUGCAAGGCGAGCUGGUGCACGGGGAGGCUGAUGCACAAGGAAGUCCCAGUGCCAAUGCACGAGGCAGCUGAUGCACGAGGAGGCAGGUGCACGAGGAGGCUGGUGCACGGGGACCAUCCUGCUUCCGGUGCACGUGGCUGCUGCUGCACGGAGAGUCCAGUGCACGGGGAAUCCUGUGCACGAGGAGGCCAGUGCACGGGGAGGUGAUGCCUCCUGGUGCACGGGGACACCGGUGCAUGGGGAGAUGUUGCACGGGCAAUCCGGUGCACGGAGAGUCCGGUGCACGGGGAGAUGUUGCACGGGGACCAUUUGCUCCCGGUGCACAGGGAAUCCGGUGCACGGAGAGUCCGGUGCACGGGGAGAUGAUGCACGGGGAAUCUGGUGCAUGGGGAGAUGUUGCACGGGGAAUCUGGUGCACGGAGAGUCCGGUGCACGGGGAGGUGCUGCACGGGGACUGUCCGACUCCCGUUGCACGAGGACGCCGGUGCACGGGGAGACGUUGCACGGGGGAAUCUGGUGCACAGAGAGUCCGGCGCCCGGGGAGCCGCUGCACCGG